CCCCCCCCCCACCCGAUCAAUUUUUUCCUGCUUUCUCAACAUCUCUGCAUCAGCUGUAAAUACCAAGUCCUGGAUAAAGGAAAUCCACGUCCAUUCCUGGAGGUGGACAGGGAGCUGGGCACGGAUCCCUGGUUCUGGAGUCAGUUCCUGCCGUGCUCUCCUGAGCAAUGCGCCUGGAGAAGGUGGUGGGGCUCCUGCCUGAGCAAAGAUGGGAGGAUUUGGCUUUGAACUAUUUCUGUCAUACAGACAACAAUGAUUCUUGUCUGCUGGCAGACCCAUUCCCACAUAGUGUUUAGCACCAGCCUUACACAUACUUUCAAUGUAGUAAAUAGUGGUGGCUAGGAGGGAACAGAUACACAUUCUGUGUCGUUUCCUUUGGGACACGUUUUACCUAGAACAAGCCAAUUCACCAUAUGUUCCUCCUCUCCAAAGUUUUAACACAGACUUUAGUUGGCCUCAUUAUAUUCCUGCUCUUGGAGGCUUGUCUCCUCACUAGGCCCUAUGGAAAGAGGGGAAGAGGAGGAAGGUCAGAGGGGGAUGUUAAACACCUCUGACACCAGGGACAUAAUCUCCCCUGUGCCUACUCUAUCAUUUCUCACCAAAGGGGCUUGCAAAGGGAGUAUCUGUCCCCUGAGGAUGGAAGGAUUUUGCUCUGAACCAGGGUAAGACUGAAGUGGAGCUUUGCAUUGUGUGUUUUAGCCAUAGAUGUGUGUGUGGUUCUGCUCACACACACACUCACACACAUUAAAAAGCUAUGUAACUCCAGCAGAGCUCUUCCCAUACUCCCAGACUCCAGCUCUUGAUCAGAGAAGGCAUGAUGGGUAUGGAAUUGCCACCGCGCCCCCAGCCAUUUCCCUGCUUCCCUGUCUGCUGCUCAUCUGCCUUUCCAGUAGUGAAAUCAUUCCAGAGUCUUGGGAAUCUGCAAAGAGCCAUAAAACAAACGUACACACACCAAACGUAGUAGGCUUUUCUGCUGAGUUGAAAAGGGCUUUGGAGUCAGACAAACCCCAAAUCAAUGCCAGGAGCCAACUACAAGACAGAAAACUACACUGGAGGAACAAACCACCUACUGCGAGCCCUGCAAAGAAGACAGCAUGUGUGUGCUCAUGUGAACUUCUGAAGGUUUGAUUUACAUAAUAAGAAUAUCAAUGCAGCUAUUUCUGCACGUUCCAGUGUGCGUGGAUCCCACCUGUGCGGCUGAGCGUGUGGGAACUGCGGGGCCGCAGAGCUUGGAGAGGUGUUUGCAUUCACAGGAGAGCAAGCCCGAGCUCCUGGGAAAGCAGAUUUACUGCCAUUAAGAAAUUAUUAUUAUGCAGCCAGAUGAGCAGCCAGAGUAAAGCAUGAAGGACCUUCCUAUCCUGCCUAGUGCAGAUGUCAAUCACACGGCUAAAUUCAAACACGAAUUCUGCCAGCAUUUAAUCUGCUGCUGGGUUCCUCCAUGAAGAGGAGACUGCAUCCAAGAAGUGACACCUCCUCCCCUUACCCACUCCCAGGUACCAGCACGGGGGAACUCUCCAAAGCCAAAACACACACACCUAUAACCUCCCUCCUCUCUCUAGAUCGUCUCUGAGUCUUUAGACCCAGGCUGUGCUGGACCUCGGGGAUGAUGCAAUGGCAUGGAGAUGCUCUCCGUCCCCCCGUUCCCCAAGGACUGGAAAAAGGCAAAGUUAUGCUCCAUACCAGCCUCGCAAGCAGCACUGAAUGCCGAGUGGGGAAAAGCCAUCUCCAGCACCGUGGGGUGCAGCUCCCCGCCAUCGCUGCCCUCCCCCGGCUCUGCCGCUGUCUCCCAUCCCCGCUGGAAGUAGAGGCAAUCAGCCCAGUGUGGAAUUCGAGGCGACAGACUUUCCUUUUCCUCCGCGAUUUGCUUGUCACUUGCGAAAGCGGAGCAGUGGAUUAAGUGGAGAUGACACCAUCUCCCUGGGGACGGUCCCCCCUGCUCCGGGAUGUAUCGAUACUCCGGAAUACAGAUGGAUCCUGGCUGUCUCCCACCCCCACCGCCAUACCCGCCUCGCCGCCAGCCCAGCCGAGUCGGGGCUGAACCCCAGUUGCCGGGCAUCCUCCGGGGGGGCUGCGUCUCGCCCCAGUAAAAACCAGCGCUCCCAGUCUUCCCAGUGCGCGAAUCUCGGCCCCUCGCUCAGCACCACGCACGCAGAAUGGCUAACGGAUCCGCGGGACUCUGCCGUCCAUCCCCCCUCGUCACUCCGCGCCGCCCAGGGCGGAGGUGCAGGCAGGGGGAGCGGAGGGGCCGCGGGCGCGUUACACAACGCGCGGCAGGACGGGGGAGCCGGCCCCGGGCAGGGGCAGCGCCGCAGCCGCAGCGCAGCGCUCGCCUUACCUGAUGCUAAUGUCCCUCCCUGGCGGAGAUCGGGUCGCCCGUGGGUUUUAUUCGGCUCGGUAGGAACUUGUGGGAGAGCUUUUCUGUCCAGCUCGCAUACUGGGUGCGGGGCUGAUACUGCAGGCGUGAAAAUCCUGGGGCUCUAGCAGUCCUUUUCAUGCUCAGACAGAAAAUCCCCUUCCUUGAUCCAGAUCGCGGGCAUUAAGGGCA